rfam:Nematostella vectensis strain CH2 x CH6 NEMVEscaffold_5_Cont937, whole genome shotgun sequence.
CAUAAUCAACGAGAGUGACAACCUGCCGCGAAGGUCUAUGAGUGGUCUGCUGCUCCUCUUUGUGAAGC